rnacentral:rRNA from 1 species
AUUGAACGCUGGCGGCAGGCCUAACACAUGCAAGUCGAGCGCGAAAGGUUUUCGGACUGAGUAAAGCGGCGGACGGGUGAGUAAUGCAUGGGAAUCUGCCUGGUAGUGGGGGACAACGUUUCGAAAGGAGCGCUAAUACCGCAUACGCCCUACGGGGGAAAGGGGGGGAGUCUUCGGACCUCUCGCUAUCAGAUGAGCCUAUGUCAGAUUAGCUUGUUGGUGAGGUAAAGGCUCACCAAGGCGACGAUCUGUAACUGGUCUGAGAGGAUGAUCAGUCACACUGGAACUGAGACACGGUCCAGACUCCUACGGGAGGCAGCAGUGGGGGAAUAUUGGACAAUGGGGGGCAACCCUGAUCCAGCCAUGCCGCGUGUGUGAAGAAGGCCUUGGGUUGUAAGACCUUUGUCCGGAAGAAAGAC